rnacentral:rRNA from 1 species
UUGGCUUAGAAGCAGCCACCAUUGAAAGAGUGCGUAAUAGCUCACUGGUCGAGUGACCCCGCGCCGAAAAUGUACCGGGGCUAAACAUAUUACCGAAACUGUGGAUGAACCUCUUUAGAGGUUCGUGGUAGGAGAGCGUUCUAAGGGCGGUGAAGUCAGACCGGAAGGACUGGUGGAGCGCUUAGAAGUGAGAAUGCCGGUAUGAGUAGCGAAAGAAGGGUGAGAAUCCCUUCCACCGAAUAUCUAAGGUUUCCUGAGGAAGGCUCGUCCGCUCAGGGUUAGUCGGGACCUAAGCCGAGGCCGAUAGGCGUAGGCGAUGGACAACAGGUAGAGAUUCCUGUACCAGUGCUAAUUGUUUAACCGAUGGGGUGACACAGAAGGAUAGGGAAUCGCACGAAUGGAAAUGUGCGUCCAAGCAGUGAGUGUGAG